rnacentral:rRNA from 1 species
UACGAAGGGGGCUAGCGUUGUUCGGAAUCACUGGGCGUAAAGCGCACGUAGGCGGACUUGUUAGCCAGGGGUGAAAUCCCGGGGCUCAACCCCGGAACUGCCUUUGAUACUGCAAGUCUUGAGUCCGAGAGAGGUGAGUGGAAGUCCUAGUGUAGAGGUGAAAUUCGUAGAUAUUAGGAAGAACACCAGUGGCGAAGGCGGCUCACUGGAUCGGUACUGACGCUGAGGUGCGAAAGCGUGGGGAGCAAACAGG